rnacentral:rRNA from 1 species
GAACGGGUGAGUAACACGUGGGUGAUCUGCCCUGCACUUUGGGAUAAGCCUGGGAAACUGGGUCUAAUACCGAAUAGGACCACGCGCUUCAUGGUGUGUGGUGGAAAGCUUUUGCGGUGUGGGAUGGCCCGCGGCCUAUCAGCUUGUUGGUGGGGUAAUGGCCUACCAAGGCGACGACGGGUAGCCGGCCUGAGAGGGUGACCGGCCACACUGGGACUGAGAUACGGCCCAGACUCCUACGGGAGGCAGCAGUGGGGAAUAUUGCACAAUGGGCGCAAGCCUGAUGCAGCGACGCCGCGUGAGGGAUGACGGCCUUCGGGUUGUAAACCUCUUUCAAUAGGGACGAAGCGCAAGUGACGGUACCUAUAGAAGAAGCACCGGCCAACUACGUGCCAGCAGCCGCGGUAAUACGUAGGGUGCGAGCGUUGUCCGGAAUUACUGGGCGUAAAGAGCUCGUAGGUGGUUUGUCGCGUUGUUCGUGAAAACUCACAGCUUAACUGUGGGCGUGCGGGCGAUACGGGCAGACUAGAGUACUGCAGGGGAGACUGGAAUUCCUGGUGUAGCGGUGGAAUGCGCAGAUAUCAGGAGGAACACCGGUGGCGAAGGCGGGUCUCUGGGCAGUAACUGACGCUGAGGAGCGAAAGCGUGGGGAGCGAACAGGAUUAGAUACCCUGAUAGUCCACGCCGUAAACGGUGGGUACUAGGUGUGGGUUCCUUCCUUGGGAUCCGUGCCGUAGCUAACGCAUUAAGUACCCCGCCUGGGGAGUACGGCCGCAAGGCUAANACUCAAAGGAAUUGACGGGGGCCCGCACAAGCGGCGGAGCAUGUGGAUUAAUUCGAUGCAACGCGAAGAACCUUACCUGGGUUUGAC